AGCAGCACCGAGAGCACAUCGAAGGGACCCGUUCCCGAUAAAUCGCUGAAGUUAAGCAGCGUUGUGCUUAGUUUGUAUCUGGAUGGGUGACCAUCUGGAAUCACAAGUGGUGGCUAUGC
rfam:Asian citrus Psyllid, Diaphorina citri - Florida Strain, whole genome shotgun sequence.